GCUCGGCGCGGCGCUGCCCUGCCGGGGCCUCCGCCUGUGCCCCGCGGAGAGCUCUGCCGCGUCUCGGCCCUCACGGGCUGCACCUCGCUGGUGCUCUGAGAGGAGCUGGCAAAGUGAUGAAGGGAUCUCCUCAACAGGUUUGCUGAUGACACAAAGCCGGGAGGAGUGGCCGAUACCCCAGAGGGCUGUGCAGCCCUUCAGAAGGACCUCGACACCUUGGAGAGGGUCAAAGAAGAACUGUCUGGAAUUCAACAGAGGCAAAUGCAGGGUCCUGCACCUGGGGAGGAACAGCCCUGGGCUCCAGCACAGGCUGGGGCUGACCUGCUGGGGAGCAGCUCUGCGGAGAAGGACCUGGGGGUCCUGCUGCACAACAAGCUGUCCCUGAGCCAGCAGGGUGUCCUUGGGGACAAGGCCAGUGGUGUCCGGGGAUGCAUUAGGAAGGGCAUUGCCAGCAGGCCGAGGGAGGUGAUCCUGCCCCUCUACUCAGCCCUGGUGAGGCACAUCUGGAGUGUCCAGUUCUGGGCUCCCCAGCCCAAGGGACAUGAGGCUCCUGGAGAGGGUCCAGCAGGGGGUGACAAAGAAGGUGGGGUAACUGGAGCAUCUCUCUUGAGAGGAAAGGCAGAAGACGCUGGGCCUGUUCAGCCUUGAGAAGACUUGAUUAGGAGGGGACCUUAUUAAUGUGUAUAAAUAUUCAAAGGGGGGGUCCCGAGAAGAUGGGUCCAGACACUUCUUGGUGGUGCCAGCCAUUAGGACAUGAGGCAAGGGGCAGAAACUGAUGCUCAGGAAGCUCUACCUGAAUAUGAGGAAGAAUGUCUUCACUGUGCAGGGGCCUUGGACUCAGUGAUGUUUGCAGCAGCCCAGAUGUGAAGGCUGGUUCCGCAUUAAGUCACCCUGAUCUUCUAAUCCCAGUUCUGAAGGUGUGUCUGCCAAGUACGGGGAAGUUUCUCUGAACAGGAGUUCCCCUCAUCCUGCUGUCCUGGAUAAUGCCUGUGCACCAGGUUCACGUGUGUGAGUGUAGAUACCAAGCACAUGUGAAAUAAGCCAGACCUUGGCCAAUGUGGACACCUGUGAAACACUAAGAGUUACAGAUACAGCCUGUCAUAGGAACAAGAAUUUCAUCUACAGUUGCUGAAUUUUUCAAAGUGAAGGAAAAAGAACAUUACAUAGUUCGGAGGGAUCCAUAAGGAUCAUCGAGUCUGACUCCCUGCUCUUCGUGGAACUGCCUAAAACCAGAAGAUAUGAUCAGUUCUGCAGGAGACAUGAUUUUGGGGGCUAUUAGAAGAUAUAUAGCUCUGGAAGGCAUUAUAUGACUAGAAGAGCCUGGCUCAAAUCUUCUCCAAAUGCCUCAGAGGGACCAGAUUAAUCUGUGAGAUCUGCAGUAAGAACAAAUCCCUCUGAGCAUACUGAAAAGCAAAUUCACCCCAAGGGAAGCUCACAUCCUUCACAGUCAGGACCAAUUUCCAGUUAGUAACUUCUGAGAUCCAUCCUUUACAUCUACUUAGCUAAAUUCUGGAAAUUCAUUAGAACAAAACUUCCAUGAGGAUGUCACUUCGUGUCUCUCUGGUGUAGCAAGAGAAAAAUAGUGCACUAACCAUUAGGAUCUAAAUCUACUCCAAGCACUCACUUUGAAGAUAUAUAUAAUUUAUUAGAACAAUAGAAAACUUAUUACAGUCAGAGUAGAGAAUAAAUGAAGCAGCAUUGUGAUUUUCAUGGCCAUACGAGUCUGACAUUCCUAAAUAGAAAGUGCAAUUCCAUUUUCUUUCAUUAGCAGGGUGAUAUUACAUAGCAGAGUAAGGGAAACUCCAUCAGCAGUGUAGAACACCUGCCCUACACCCUUCAUGUGAGACAUGGCAGCCAACAAGGUCUUGUUCUGUAGGAGAAUAUAGGUUCUUAAAGAGCACUUAAAGGAUAGAUAUUUUUCAUUCCCCUGGCCAUAGUGCAGGGGAAGGGACAGAACAAGCAUCGAGUGCUUCACCACAUGUAUGGCCAGUGUUAUUGUCACCUGUGGUUCUGCUUCUUCUCUGCCAUUACUUCUCAAUCUUCUCAUAACUAAGAUAUUGCUGUUCAAGAUUGUUCAUUUUUGUACGAGGGGUUGUCUAAAUGAGAACAAGUCUUGAUAUACUAGCACACGGUUAUGGCACAUUAGUUUUGUCCCAGCCCCAGCCAGCUGAAUGCUCUUUAGUUUCCCUUGGCUGGCACUGGUCCUUAGCCAAGAGGAGCUCCUCUGCUGGUGAACUUCAGCAGAAGUUCAUCUGUAGCAAUCUGCCCUGGACACAAGACUACAUUGUUUGUUCUCCUAUUAAUUCUUUAAACUGUGUCAGUUUUUAUAUUCAGAUGUCAAAUUUAAUAACCUUUGUAAAUGAGGCCAAUUAUAAAGUAAAUUUGUAUGAUUAAAAGAUAGAGGUAUUUGUAGGUAAGGCUUCAAAUCAGGUUCAAGAAUGAAGAUUGAAUUUCUAACUCUAAUGGGUUUUCUGUGUAAUUUGAGGCUUUGGUUGCACAUUUGUAAAACUGGAAUACAUUUAUCUCAUCCAUUUUGAUUGUAAAUUCUUUGAGAUUAUAUGCAGCACCAGGCACAUUUCCAGUUUUCUUCUGAAACUCUUUGGAGCAGUGCAAACAAAUAAAUUUGAUUCUUUUGGAAUGCCCAAAAACUCUUGAAGUAAACAAGUUGUUGUUUUGUUUUAUUUUUUUUUUUUUUGGUGGUGGGGGUCAGAAACCAGAAGGAGCUGUUGAAUUAAAUUUCUGUGUUGCAGAUGAAGCCUCGAACUCUAAAGUCUUCCAGACUCACUGGUCAUGUGGCACUUUUCCCCUGUCCUUCUCAGUCAGUAUUGAAAACAGGCACUAUGUUCUUAAGUAAUUUCUUAAUUUGCCUUGUUUUCUGGGGUUGGCCUUGGAGACCAGGUUUUCGAAUGGGACAUAAUAUCUUUUUAAAAUGGCAGACUUUCAGAGCACCUUUCAAAAUGUCACAAAAUCUCCCUGACUUUUCUGAUUCUAUUACUUUCACUUCUUUGUUAGAAUAAAAUUCAGAGCACAUCAAACCCUUCUGUGACUGCAGUAGUAAGAUAGAGGAACUGCUAUCUGUAUUGUGAAGAGUUGGGGCAAUGUUUCUUUGCUGUGGCAGGAAAAUUAAAAGUCUUUUUAUUUUAUUUUUCCUUAACAAGUUCUGAGGGAAUAAAGCACAGCUUGAUUUUGUAUAAGUGCCCCAGAAAUGAUUGUUUAACCAGCCCAGUAUUUGUCUCAGUCCAACAAUGGAUGAGAAUGCUUUGAAGAAAGUGAAGCAUGCAUAUGCAGCCUGCUAGAUGCCUUCCAUUAGUUUCCAUCUCCACAGGAGUGUGGGCUGCUAGAAAUCUUAUAUCCUGCAAAGUGUUAGAUACCAGUCAUGAUUUCUACCUUCACUAACUACAAGUUGAAGGACUACAUCCAUGGGAGACAAGAUGUCCCUUAACAAGACAGAUCAGAUUUCAAAUUUUUAACCUAGUUACCACAGUCUCAGUCCUAAGCAACCCAAGGACUGGAAUUUUUGAACAGAAGAGCAGCAGUGGAGCUCACUGAAGGUGUAAACAUGGACAGUCAACUUUUGAUUAUCUGUGUGAAGACUCAUGUUAUUUCUUUAUCUGGAUUGUUCUGUCUCCAGCCUUCCCCAUUGCCCUGACUAUUGAGAGUUAAUUAUAUAAAAGAUAGUGAAAAAGUGGAAUGUAUAAUCAGUACAAGAUUAUAAGAGUGUAUAAAAUGAGCAUUAGGUUGGUAAUUCUUGUGCUGUCACAGCAGUUAAAACUGAAGUUAUCUAGUAGUGUGCCUUAAAUUAUAAGCUUAUAGCAGAGAAGUUGUGUCAUGGGGCUACCAUCUUCACUAGUUAAGGCGAGGGCCUGAGGAUGGGCACACUCAAGCCAGGCCCCUGCUCUGUCAUGAGCUGGGCAGAGCACAGAAUGUGCAAGAGAUGUAUGUGUGAACAGCAUAUGCUGAAAGGCUUUUGGUUUCCAGACAUCAUACCUGGACAGUUGAGGCAGCCUUGUGGGAUCCACAGGCUUCCCUGACCUGCCUCAGUUCAGCACAAUCAUCAGCAUCAUCUGUAUGUAUAAAACUCUUUCAAGGAGUAUUUUUGCUGAGAUUGUCUUAUCGUCUAUGAAGGGGAGACAAUUCAUCAUAUUAUCCCUUGUGGAGGGUGUUAUUAUCCUUGAUUAAGUGCUGUUCUCAAAGUGCAGUGUGGAGCUGGGCUGUCCAUGCCCUGGGACUGGUCCUUCCUGCCUGGUCCUUAAGUCCUUGCAGAACAUGAUCUAUCUCCAUCCAUCUGUUGUCUCCUGAAUGGUAUCUAAAGAAGGCCCGUGUCUUUCUGUGCAGUGCCUAGCACAGGAGUUUCUUGUUUAAGGCUGCUUGCUUUUGUGGCAGUGAGUAUGGGCAGCAGUAACUAUAUGAUAAUACAGGUUUGUAUUAUUGUGUAAACACAGGAUAAAAAACUAUUAUCCCUCCUUUUGCACUUUUCUUUAUUAAUCUGAGCUACAAAUGCAGUGAGAUAAAUGAGUUGUUAUCCCUUGGUAUUUGAUUUUUCGGUCAUGCCUUUCUGAUGAAAAGAGAAGAAAUUUUUUGUUAAGUAAGAGUGCUGUCAGACUUUAGAAUGUGUUCUAGUUCUGAAUAUUUUGGUCUCUUGUUUGUAAUUCCCUAUGUUUCAGAUCUCAAUUAACUGUCUUGCAGACCCAGCAUUGUUAAUUCACACCAAGAUAUUGCUUCUCUUAUUUCUUCACUGAUUAGCUAAUGUAGCUUAAUUUCAGUGAGGGGCAUGCAUGUUAAAUGGCCUGCUGCAAUCAAAAUGCUUUUUAGUUUUGAAGUUUCUUUAAUGCUGUUACAAAUGUGUUCUUUGUGAUAACAUGUAUUUAUACUACUGAAAAUCCCUUCCUGUAGAUCAUUUCAUUUGUGCAAAU